rnacentral:rRNA from 1 species
ACUCCUACGGGAGGCAGCAGUGGGGAAUAUUGCACAAUGGGCGAAGCCUGAUGCAGCCAUGCCGCUGUGAUGAAGAAGGCCUUCGGGUUGUAAAGUACUUUCAGCAGUGAGGAAGGUGGGUAUGUUAAUAGCAUACUCAUUUGACGUUAGCUGCAGAAGAAGCACCGGCUAACUCCGUGCCAGCAGCCGCGGUAAUACGGAGGGUGCGAAGC